UCGGCAGCUACACAUGCAAGUCGAGCGGAAACGAUGGAGCUUGCUCCAGGCGUCGAGCGGCGGACGGGUGAGUAAUGCAUAGGAAUCUGCCCGGUAGUGGGGGAUAACCUGGGGAAACCCAGGCUAAUACCGCAUACGUCCUACGGGAGAAAGCAGGGGAUCUUCGGACCUUGCGCUAUCGGAUGAGCCUAUGUCGGAUUAGCUUGUUGGUGAGGUAAUGGCUCACCAAGGCGACGAUCCGUAGCUGGUCUGAGAGGAUGAUCAGCCACAUCGGGACUGAGACACGGCCCGAACUCCUACGGGAGGCAGCAGUGGGGAAUAUUGGACAAUGGGCGAAAGCCUGAUCCAGCCAUGCCGCGUGUGUGAAGAAGGCUUUCGGGUUGUAAAGCACUUUCAGUGAGGAAGAAGGCCUUGGGGCUAAUACCCCCGAGGAAGGACAUCACUCACAGAAGAAGCACCGGCUAACUCCGUGCCAGCAGCCGCGGUAAUACGGAGGGUGCGAGCGUUAAUCGGAAUUACUGGGCGUAAAGCGCGCGUAGGCGGCGUGAUAAGCCGGUUGUGAAAGCCCCGGGCUCAACCUGGGAACGGCAUCCGGAACUGUCAGGCU
rnacentral:rRNA from 1 species